rnacentral:rRNA from 1 species
AGUGAACGCUGGCGGUAGGCCUAACACAUGCAAGUCGAACGGCAGCACAGUAAGAGCUUGCUCUUACGGGUGGCGAGUGGCGGACGGGUGAGGAAUACAUCGGAAUCUACUUUUUCGUGGGGGAUAACGUAGGGAAACUUACGCUAAUACCGCAUACGACCUACGGGUGAAAGCAGGGGAUCUUCGCACCUUGCGCGAUUGAAUGAGCCGAUGUCGGAUUAGCUAGUUGGCGGGGUAAAGGCCCACCAAGGCGACGAUCCGUAGCUGAUCUGAGAGGAUGAUCAGCCACACUGGAACUGAGACACGGUCCAGACUCCUACGGGAGGCAGCAGUGGGGAAUAUUGGACAAUGGGCGCAAGCCUGAUCCAGCCAUACCGCGUGGGUGAAGAAGGCCUUCGGGUUGUAAAGCCCUUUUGUUGGGAAAGAACAGCAGCAGGUUAAUACCCCGCUGUUCUGACGGUACCCAAAGAAUAAGCACCGGCUAACUUCGUG